rnacentral:lncRNA from 1 species
UAAAACGAAAUUUAAACAAUAAAUACAUCAGAUUGACAAGACUAAAUGCACUACAAUUAUUUAUUAUGGCGCCGUCAUCAAAAUGAAGGUAAUAAAUUGUGCAUAUUAUAAUAAAAACAAUAAAAUGAAACUUUGGUUGAGUAGUAAAUUUAAAGUUUUACUAAUCUAAUUGGCAUAGGUUUGAAUACCGCCAUAUGCAUAUUUUUAUUGAUUUUUGUUAAAAUGAAAAGGCUAAAAUACCCUCAAAUAGUAUAACAUAUUUUAAAUACAGAAGAUCAUUUUUUUAAUUUUCUUAAUUGAGUUGAUGACCUAGUUGAGGGUGACAGCAACAUACUAAAACACUUAAAAAAUAAUAUAGAUAUAUAAUUGAUGGAUGUAAUAAAGUAUGCAUAAUAAAAAAAAUGUACAAAAAUAUUAAAAUGAAGUUUUAGUUGAGUGGUAAAUAAAAGGUAUUUUUAAUCUAAUUGGUGUGGGUUCAAAUCUCACAAUAUAUAUUUUUAUUGUUUUUGUUAAAAUAAAAAGAUUAAAAUACUCUUGAAUAGUAUAACUUAUUUUAAUUAGAAAAUAUUAUUUUGUAAAACACCAACUCAGUAAGACACUUAAUAAAUAAGAUAGAUGCUUAAUAACAUAAUUAGACUUGAUUGGCUUAAUAAGUUUUAUUUAAUAUUAAAUUAAUUUAUUAUUUAGUUAAAUAUGCCAUAUGUCACAAUUUUAUUGAUUAAGAGAAAAUUUUUUAAACAUGAGUGACGAUUGGACCAUUUUGUGUCACAAAAUCAUGAUUUAAGUAUCAUUUUUGAUAAAAAAAAAUGAAUAUCUAAAACGUGACUCCUCACGAAGGAGAUGGCGCGGGUGAAGGGCAUUCUUGCUGAAACAGAGGAUCAAAUCGAAAGAUCGCGAUAGCAGGAUUGUAUACGCGAUCAGGAAAGGGCACGCGAAAGGGCGGGCUUACUAGCUGCCCACUCUGAACUCCAGAAUCAUAGUUCUAUUCUACAUGUGGAGAAGAACCGUCCGAAGUUUAGAAUAAAUGAACUUCAAUUUCGGAAGGAUCAACAAAAAUUCCGUCAUAAGUAGGCCCUUUCAAUUCCCAGAAGGAACAGAACUUUCCUUUGGAAAUGCUAAGGGCAAGGUUUCUGGUCUUAUUGCGGAAUGGGUACUUAUAAGCUCCGAAGUUCGGUCUAGAUUUAAGAAAUGUUUCAAUAAUAUCUCUUUUCUCCCGAAGUCAAAAGCCUUGAAAUUUUGAGCUUUUAAAAAUCAAC